GACGAACCGUCCAAACGUUAUUCGGAAUUACUGGGCUUAAAGGGCGCGUAGGCGGCUUGUCAAGUCGGGGGUGAAAUCCGGCAGCUUAACUGUCGAAGUGCCUUCGAUACUGACAAGCUCGAGGGAGGUAGGGGUCUGUGGAACUUCUGGUGGAGCGGUGAAAUGCGUUGAUAUCAGAAGGAACGCCGGUGGCGAAAGCGACGGACUGGAUCUCUUCUGACGCUGAGGCGCGAAAGCUAGGGUAGCGAACGGG
rnacentral:rRNA from 1 species